UCCUAAUGGAACUCUGAGGUCGUUUCCUAAUGGAACUCUGAGGUCGUUUCCUAAUGGAACUCUGAGGUCGUUUCCUAAUGGAACUCUGAGGUCGUUUCCUAAUGGAACUCUGAGGUCGUUUCCUAAUGGAACUCUGAGGUCGUUUCCUAAUGGAACUCUGAGGUCGUUUCCUAAUGGAACUCUGAGGUCGUUUCCUAAUGGAACUCUGAGGUCGUUUCCUAAUGGAACUCUGAGGUCGUUUCCUAAUGGAACUCUGAGGUCGUUUCCUAAUGGAACUCUGAGGUCGUUUCCUAAUGGAACUCUGAGGUCGUUUCCUAAUGGAACUCUGAGGUCGUUUCCUAAUGGAACUCUGAGGUCGUUUCCUAAUGGAACUCUGAGGUUGUUUCCUAAUGGAACUCUGAGGUUGUUUCCUAAUGGAACUCUGAGGUUGUUUCCUAAUGGAACUCUGAGGUAGUUUCCUAAUGGAACUCUGAGGUUGUUUCCUAAUGGAACUCUGAGGUUGUUUCCUAAUGGAACUCUGAGGUUGUUUCCUAAUGGAACUCUGAGGUUGUUUCCUAAUGGAACUCUGAGGUUGUUUCCUAAUGGAACUCUGAGGUUGUUUCCUAAUGGAACUCUGAGGUCGUUUCCUAAUGGAACUCUGAGGUCGUUUCCUAAUGGAACUCUGAGGUAGUUUCCUAAUGGAACUCUGAGGUAGUUUCCUAAUGGAACUCUGAGGUUGUUUCCUAUAGGGAAAUAUAGGCAUGACUGUCUAUUUCGCCAAAUAUCUCACAAUGUGUAUAUUUAGUUUCUUUUCAAGUCGGGCACCAUUUUAAAUCAGGAGAAUCUCCUCUUUGUAAUUAUGUAGAAAUAGUCAGGAAGUUGUCAUUUUUUCCACUACUUUCUCAUUACGCAGACAUGAGCACAGUUGACACCACCGGGGUGCGGAUGUUAACUUUCGACACGAGUUGUUUUUAAUCUCGUUUCGUCCGACGAACAGAUUGUUGUGGUAAAAUAAAAACGGGAUAAAAUGUUUGUUUUUUUGUUGCCAUGGCAAAAUGGAAUUCUAAGCAUCAUAGAAUCAUAGAAUGAUUUGUAAUCCUUGAGAGAACUAACUGGUGUAUGUGUUCCCUUCAGAGGGAGAAUGGGAAAGUAAAAAAAUAUUUAAGUGCCUCUGAACAGGGUAAGUAGGUGCCAGGCGCACUGGUUUCUGUCAAGAACUGCAAACGCUGCUUGGGUUUUUCCACGCUCAACAGUUUCCCAUUUGUAAUAACACACCAAUAAUAACAUAACAAUAAUAACAUAACAAUAAUAACAUAACAUAACAAUAAUAACAUAAUAAAUAAUAACAAUAAUAACAUAACAAUAAUAACAAUAAUAACAUAACAAUAAUAACAUAACAAUAAUAACAUAACAAUAAUAACAUAACAAUAAUAACAUAACAAUAAUAACA